GAAGGGAUCAUGUGGUAGAGCUUUAUGUUUCAUUCAGUUUCACACUAAGGGAAACUCGACUUUUUCAUUUUCACCAGAUCAUUAACACACAAAAACCAUUACAAGAUUAUUAUUCAAAACCGACUCAACAACUCCCCUUAAUUACAAUAACAAGACUUUUUAUACUAUUUACAGUGCGCAUGUGCAAGAAAAAUGAUAGUGUGUUAAACAUAGAAUUAAUCCUACUACAGGUGGACAGAAACGGUCAAAGAUUCUAUUCUAAUUUUUCAUGAAUAAAGAGAAUACAGAGAUACUCUUAAAUUUGGACAUCACUUCUCAUUGAACAUUGUUAUAAAACAAUGAGAUACGACUAGAUCUAAAAACCCUCCCUUUUGAAAUGAACAGAUAAGCAUACAGAAUUUGCAUUACUUCUUCUUGGUUAUUGGGACGAUCGGCACCGAUGGGUAACAAAUAUCCACUUUUCCCCGACUUAUGUGCGUUGCAUGAUUUCUAUAAGAAACUAUUCUUUAAGAAACUUGGAUGUCCGCUAAGAGCUAGAGGGGAGGUGGCUCAAAAUCUUAACGGCAACAUGCAAUUAAGAAUCACAAAAUCUGUUUUGGUACGACCCCUUAGCUUUUCCUCUAAUGAAAGUGUGAAGCUCCUGAAGGAAUCAAGCAUUCUCACAGAAAUUUUAAAUGUAUUAAUAUUAGAUGUUAGAGUAAAAUAAAGGUAGAAACCUGCUGGACACAAAUACUUGCUAUAAGGGACAUCUGAAAUUCUUGGGAAUAUAUAUUACACUUUUUUCAUAAAUAAUAAAACCCAACCUUGAGGUUAGGCUUAUGAUUUUACAGAUAACAAACAUUGGCAAUACAAAGGAUGUACUUCUGUCUAUUAAUUUUCAGUCCGAAAACAUAUUGAAGCAUGCUCUUCGUAUAUGCCAUUAUAUCAUCAUUUCAGUAGUCGUAGCAAACUUUCAUCAUUUGUAAACGACAGUGGAGACAAUAGCAACUUGCAUCGGCAAAAAAUUGAGAAAUGCUGCAGAUCUCGUUUUAAAGAUUUUUCAAUUGCUGAACGUGGUUCAUCCCAGCUCCAACCUGGCUACGUCCUUUUUAUGAUAGCAAAUUGCACCUAUUAGUAUUGAUAGUGUUAAGCUAACCAUUUUUUUCCAGUGUUGAUGCUACAGAGCCCUCUGGUCGUCUUGGAAGAUUGGUGAACGAUAGCAAGCUGGGAAACUGCAAGAUGCAGAAAGUUAUGGUUGGCCAAGUUCCCCAUCUUUGCUUGUUUGCCACAAGAACUAUUACGCAGGGGGAAGAACUUCGGUACGACUAUGGCUUGGAUGAUCUUCCUUGGCGAAAACAGGAAGGGGUUGCUAAAGGAAAACGAAAAAAGACCCUAAAAGCAGAUCAUGAAGAAAUUGGCCAAGCCAAGAGCCAAGAAAAGCAACGGGAAGGGGUUGCUAAAGGAAAACGAAAAAAGACCCUAAAAGCAGAUCAUGAAGAAAUUGGCCAAGCCAAGAGCCAAGAAAAGCAACAGGUACCAGCAGCAGCCAUGACGAGAUGCAGUUUUUGUGGAAAGGCAGACCAUGAACUGCAGCUAAGGAAUGGUAGGACUGUCUGCCCUCAAAAGAGGGAAGAAGUAAAAAAUCAUUUAAAUAAAAUUAUUGAGUCACUUGGGGGCCAAAAAUGAAAAGAACUGAUUAAUAAAUUUUUUGUGUUUUCCUUUUUGUGGCUUUCAUCCCUAUCACCAUUGUUAAUGUAUCAACAGGGGCUAAAAUAAGAAAUUUUUACAGAUUUUUGAUAAGAAAUUUGAACAUUUUUUAUAAAAAUUGGGCGUGGUACUUUGCUGGGAUUGGCACCUUGUGGCUGGCAAAAAUAGAAAUUGCCUUCAUUGUGCAAGUAGCAUGUCCUAAUUGGGCAAAUUCUUCAAUAAAUAAAUCAUAAGUAGCAAAAGCUGAUUCUUUACAAUAUAUUUAUUGGGUUUAUAAGAAAAUUGACCAUGACCAACCAUGACCAAUAAAAUAAAUGAAUUAUAGGUUGAGAUUUGGUCAAACUUUCUAAUUAAUGCUCUGUGACCAACUUUCUUGAAGUUUGCAAACAUCUGCAAACAACUCCCCCCCCCCUCCCAACCGGCAUUUUCCUGGCCACAGAGAAGAAGCAUUGGCUGUUGUCUUCGCCACUGACCAUCGCCCAGCCUUAUUUAUUAGGGAACAAGUUCAUAAUUAUUGGGAAGAGCAGGAAAUUUGUAACUCUCACUAUUGUGGGUGGCAAACAUGCAAGUUUAUAGCAAAGUUGUGACUAUACUAUAAGUGGAAGCGUAAUUUCAGUGCAAAUUCUACAAAUUUACAUUGAAUUGAAACAGCCAUCAGGUCAUUCUGAUGAGGUGUGACAAAGUCGACAGGAUGUAGACUCAUUCACGUGUCUUUGCUUGAGUCUUAGCUUUUGGCGCUCAAAAAACAACAGGUUAAUUGACACUUCAUUUGUUAAGACUGUGGAGGUGGUCGAAUCGAAACUUGCUUUAGUUCGAACUAAACGUGAUAGAGGUAAGACGUUUACUGCCACAAAAAACUGCUGAAUCGCUCUUCAUUGCAAAAGAUUACUAUUCUGGGUUAAUUUCAUGUUUGCUAUACCUUCUUUCUAUAAUUUCGUUGCUUGUGAAUGAUGAGCUUCUUUUUUCUCAGAUGACUUGGAUUUAGGCAUGCUUCUCGAACGAGGGAGGAAGUAGGAGGGUCACUGCCCUGAUGGAGGCAGACAGUGUAGAGGAGCUAAGGGAGAAAGGAAGGGGUUGCUAAAGGAAAACGAAAAAAGACCCUAAAAGCAGAUCAUGAAGAAAUUGGCCAAGCCAAGAGCCAAGGAAAGCAACAGGAAGGGGUUGCUGAAAGAAAAGGAAAAAAGACCCUAAAAGCAGAUCAUGAAGAAAUUGGCCAAGCCAAGAGCCAAGGAAAGCAACAGGUAAAUUUGUCAAUUUUCUUUUCUUUACAAAAAGCAAAAUUUUAUUUACGAUUUGAAAGUUCUUAUCUUUUCUUCAUGAGUCAAUUAAACUUUUACUGUGGUGUUUAUCCAACUAGGUUAUUUGGAGUUAAAUCCUUUAAACUGCUUUUUACAUACAUAUAAGAAAAUACAUUUAAUUUAAAUAAAUAUGUUUAUUGAAAAUGCCGUAUGAAAGUAGGGACUUUGAGUAAGGAACUCUUUUCCCUCAAAAGAGACACAUGUCAAGAGGCACCUGGUUGUUACCAAUACGAAUGCCAGUUGCCACUUUUAGUUACACCUGCUAAAGGGAAACGUUGCAUUUAAAGUGAAUUUUACCAAAUGGAGUCUUUAGAACCUAUUUUAAUAAAUAUUGGCGUUAUUGGGGCAACGGAUGUAUUAAGAAAAUACCUUCUUCAUGUUCAACGGAAUGUAUUGUUUGAAUUACGAGGCCCUGAAUAAUUUGUAUUUUUGAGAAGUUUUGGUCAAUUGGGUUAAGUUGAAAAAAAAUCUUUAGACCUGUAGAUACAUUUGCUAGAGGGGAAUCAUUUUUAAAUUUUGAAUAUACUUCUUAAACUUGACAAAGUUUUGGUUUCAACCAUGUCCCUAUUGAAGUUUUCGCUCAACAACAUCUUCCGAUCAUAGGUAAGUAAGAGGUGACAAGAGAUGGUCAAUAUUAAGAGAUGACAUAUUUUGAAAGUCUACUGGUCCCUCAAACCAUGAUAUUCUCGAAAUAAUUUUCAAAUAUAUGACAAUCUGCUGUCUCAUUCUUUUUGUUAAGCAAUUUUCAUAAUAAUUAUAUGCACUUAAUCAAUAUUGAAGAAAUCAGUACAUGCAGGAACCUUUUAAAUAAGUUGUUGUUUUGUAUAUUUUAAUAUCGUGCGCAAUCAAAUUAACUUUUUAUUGUAGGAAGUGGUUGCUGAAAGAAAAGGAAAAAAGACCCUAAAAGCAGAUCAUGAAGAAAUUGGCCAAGCCAAGAGCCAAGGAAAGCAACAGGUAAAUUUGUCAAUUUUCUUUUCUUUACAAAAAGCAAAAUUUUAUCUACGAUUUGAAAGUUCUUAUCUUUUCUUCAUGAGUCAAUAGACUUAUAUAAAUCGAGUUUUAUAUACUCUCAUCUGCAUCUCUGACACGGAAUUGAGAUUGAGGGUAGAAUAUGAUUGUAUGAGGCUUUAGAAUGACAUUAAUUUUUGUGGAAAGUGAAUUUUAUUAAAACGCAUUGCAAAGGGUUUUGCGUUUGCUAGCAAUAAUAGCUCUUGUAAUUCAUUUUUUAGAAAGGAAAACAAGUGAUGAGGGAAUUUAAUUAAAUUACAAGAUAUCUCAUAUCAUUACUAAUUUUCAGAGUAUUGUUUUAUCAUUACAGGUUGAAGAAACUGGAUUUCAAAAUAAUUGAAUCUGAAACUAUCGGAGAGCCUCUAGAAGAUGUGAGUAACUGCCAGACAUGUGUCCUUGUUACUGAACUAAGCUAUCUGUCUUUGCUGUGAAUAUAUUGAUUUAUGGUACCACUUUAACUUAUUGCACUAGACAUAAAAAAAGUCCACGUAACAACUCCUCUUUCAUUUGUAAAGCAAUUGAAUGGUUGUCUUGCUAUUUUGAACUGAUAUUAUUCUCUUUACACAAUAUGCAGAGUUUGCAUGAGCUGCUUUGCUUGGAAUCGAAUCUAUAAGCAACUCAUGAAUUAAUCAUCUUUCACACGAUCUUCUCUUUUCUAUGUAUAGAUUAUAUUGGUUGAUCUGUUUUGAUUUUAGAUGGACGUAAAAGAUGAUUCAGGACUGCAUGGAGACUUCCCGGAAAUUGACAGUACUGGUGAUGAAGGAGAAGGCGAGGAGUGUAAUCUGAAUGUAAGUAACAAAAUUUAGCAUUAUGUACUUCCUUUAUUUAUGAAUUUGAUGAAAAGUAGUAGCUUUAAAAUGAUGCUCAUUUUUGGGUAACAGAUAGCUUCAGUUGACAAGAAAUAUCGAAAUUUCAAAUUGUGUCUUUUUGCAACUUAUGGAUUCAAAUCUUACAUCAAAGGAAGAUCCGUGGAUUCCUGAGGAUUCUGAUAGUAGCGAUGAUCCAACAUACAACUAUUUAUCUUCAGAAGAUUUAUCGUCAGACUCGGAAGACACUGAAAGCAGUGAUGGAGUUUCACCACAAAAUAAUAAAGGUGAUGUUAUUUGAUCUCAAGUGCUUAAGUUUUCCACUCUUUUCCAAAUUAGAAUAUUUGUAAAAAAGGUUCAACUCCCUCUGAUUUCCACGUUGUCAUAAUUACUUUUCUGAAGCGUUAUGCACACAAGUUGCCAAAUGCAUUGUUCAUGCAGUCUAAGCAAUGUUUUAACAAGAAGUUUUGAAGAUGUUAUGUACAAUUAAAUUUUGAUUUUAUCACUCUUUGCAUAUAUGGAAGCAACUCUGAACAGAAGCAAAAAACUCUUGCAAAUUACAGUUGAGGGUCCAAUGAGUUUCGAUUAAGAAAAAUGUCAAAUCGUUUGAUCAUAGAUGAUAGUUCAAGUGAUAAAAAACUGCAGUCUACUGUCUCAGAUUAGGUUCUCACAAUAAAUUUUUUGUUAGUUAACAUGCUUUCGCGAUGAUAUUCGAUGGUGUUUCGAUUUUAAAUGCCCCAUGCAGAAACGCAUAACGCUGAAAUUGUCUAUGCGUUUAUGCAUAGGCCAAAGGCAAACUACAAAAAAUGAUAAAAAUCCGAAAAUGCUUCUUGCAUUGAAAAGUUUGACCUAGAUCAGGUUCUCACAAUUAUUUCAUGUUGGUUAACAUGCUUUCGCAAUGUUAUUCGAUAAUAAAUAUAACUUUGAUUUGGUUUUUAUUGUUAAUGUUGCAUGUGCGCAUUGUAUAUCCCACAGCUAGGCCCUGGAUGUCCGCCAUUACACUGUAACACUUGAAACACAUAGAUUUAGAAGUAGAGUUUUUAAUUAUUUCUGGGAGUUCAUUGCAUGUUUUUGCCUCAAUAUACCGAAUAGCCCACAUGUAUACUUUCCUAAUCAAUUAUGGAUAGCAGCAAGGAGAGAUUUUUCGAAAUGUUCAAAGACUACUUUGGCCUGGCGAGAUAAGUAGCAGGCUUCCAUGUGGAAAACACAUCACAAAAGGUAACAAGACAUCUGAGAUCACACUACGAGCAAGGACCGAGAUACAACUUGUUGCUUAAGGGGGGGGAUGGUUGGUGCAAACUGGUUGGUGCAAACUGGUAGGUGAGCAAAGUGAACCGAAGAUUUUUACAGGGGCCAUCUAGGAGCCCUAAGCAGGAACCCAAACGGUUGGUAAGAUAUCUGCAACAAGACAUCACCUAUUUCCCACCUCGACCCUACCACCAAAAAUGCCCCCCCCCCCUAAUUUACUUCCUAAGAAGUUUUCGUUAAUUAAACAAGCAAAUAUUUUAAGAUUUAAGUUACCAGGUUUUUCCGCAAAUAAAUCACCCAGCCAUCACCUGGGAAUAUUGUAUUUUCUAAACAAAACUAGGCUUUAUGUUUGCCUUUUCCGUCCUCUAAACUACCGUACGAGAUGUCUAGGCCCUUUUUGCACCUCCUUCCUGAGCAUCACAGUCAAUGAAAUUGAAACCACUUUUGUGAAGCCAUUAGUCUAUAGUUUGAAACCAACAAGGCCAAAAUAAUGGCAAUAGUUAAAAUUUAAUAUCUGAGAAAAAUCAAUUUUUUAAAAAGUAACAAAGACCAACAUUUUGGACAGUCUUGAAGAGACUUGCUAAAAGGUUUUUUGAACAAGGCAUCAUAAAUUUUGAAACCUUUUUGCGAAAUCACAUUUAGUUGUUGGAAAACCAAUAUGAUCAUUGGCCUUGAAUUUGGCUGCAAGUGUAUAUUCUAAAUCCAAUCCCCUCACGAAAGUAUCCGGAAAGCCUCGGAUUUACCAUUCACAGAUUUGAAGUUGCAAAUCUGUUGUUAGAAAAAUUGUUUACAACUGUGAAAAAAAUUAAGAAAGAAAUGCUUUUGCUGACAUCCAGCGCCAUAAUAAAACGAAGUUAUGCCAACUUAUAAUUUAAUGACAAUAAGAUCUUUGAUGACGUCAUGCAAAUUUUUUGAUGACGUCAUAAUACAAACACUAAUGGCGGAAAAUCAUUCUUAAAUAUGCAUCAAUUAAAAGCUUGCAAUGAAACGAGUCAAAGUAUCUAAUUUGCGUCAAAAAAUAACAAUCCAGUAAAGAGCUAGCAAUGAUUUUGUCUGUUUUUUACCGCUAACUGAUGUCAUCAGUCCUGUGACAUCCAGACAUUUUCAAAAAAGUCACCUGGCAGAUUAUGAAAGCCUGGGCUCCCAACUACAAGAAUCCGUUGAGAAAGUAAACAUUAGCUUGAAUGUCAGAUUGUCAAGCUCUAUGUCCCUGUCUAUUUGAGCUACAGUUCACAAGGUAAUUUGAGUCAAAACUUCAAUUUUCACAAAUGAUUCAAAUUUUCUCUGAUUAACCUAGCUUUCCACCAGCAGCUUUAAAUUUUCCGACUGUCCUCAAAUUUUCCGAGUGGAUGAAAGAUUGGGGGGUGUCACACCCCCCGACACCCCCCCAGUAUUUACUUGCCUGAGUCCUCCUCUCUCAAUUUUUUUCUAAAAAUCAAUAACCAAUGAGAAUUGUUGAACUGUCUAUUUGGAGCGGUAUGGUAUUUAUUUUGUUAAAUUUUAGCCCUGGAGAUGCAUCUUUAGCCAUUCUAGAAGAAUUAAUUUAAAAAAUUUUCAUUGGCGUGUGGCCCAACCAUGGUGGGUCCUCCUAUGUCACUAAACUUUAUUCUUAGCCCUCCCAGGUUCAAUUUCGUGGCGCCGUCUCUGUCAAAGUUUGUAUAAUUGCUUGACCCGUUAAGUUGAUUAUCGUUGCUUGAGCCCUUGUGUGGUGGUUUGCGCUGAUAGCAUCCCGCGCUCAUAUAAUGUAUCCUCAUGUUAUUGCUUGACCGGAUAUAGUUGUGGUUUACAUGAUCAUGAUGUGUAUGUUGUCUUUGGUAAAAUCCCAUCUACUCAGGAUUCAGAAAUCCACUAGGUACAGGCAUAAAAAAGAUAUUUUGCACCCUUUGAGCCAAUCGAAUAAUUCGAAAAUUUGCCCUUUGCCAGGGCAGACGUAGCGCUAGCAAAGCGUAUCUCAAAAUCUUUCCAUGUCCUCUGGUCCAUCUUUCAUAACCAAAUACAACUGUGGGAGGGCUUACAAAUUAUUUGCCAAUUUUGGACAACGUGUUGAUUCAAGAAGAGGAGGAAUUUCAAAAAUCUAAGACACAUGUACGUCAGAUUCCGUCAGAGACCUCAAGCGCUCUAAGGGAUCAAAAUAGUCUUUGAAGGCGGUAUUCUCUAUUAGAAACAAAUUUGCCUAGAAAAUGCCAUUUUACAACAUUUGCCAAUAACUUUGAUAUGGUUUGAAUCUCCACAUUUUUGUGCACCGAAUGAUACUUAGUAUUGAUUCUGUCAAUAGUUAGGCUUUUAGGGAGAGAAAACUAAAUCUAGUUUGAAAAACGUUCAUCGAUCAAUGAAUCAAUUCAAUUCAAAUUCCACUAUAUACAAUGUUCAACAACAAAUAACUAACUAAAGAUUACUUACUCAAAGAUCAAAGAAAUACUUUGUAUUAAGGGGAAUUCUUAAGGAGGAACUCUCCUUCUAGUUCAGAAAAUAAAUUGAGAAGAGCAUUCCCUGCAGUACCCCUCAAUUUUAUUCCUCAAUUUUACUCCUCAAUUUUACUCCUCAAUUUUACUCCUCAAUUUUACUCCUCAAUUUUAUUCCUCAAUUUUAUUCCUCAAUUUUAUUCCUCAAUUUUAAUCCUCAAUUUUAUUCCUCAAUUUUAUUCCUCAAUUUUAUUCCUCAAUUUUAUUCCUCAAUUUCAAAAGUACCUGGUUCAAAAUAAUUCAAAUUUACAUAAAGUGUUGAAUUAAUUUUCUGAGUUUUCUUUUUGAAAGAAAAUUUAGAAGCAGAGUUUUCAAGUAUUUCUGGGAGUUCGUUCAGUCUUUCUGCCCCCAUAUACCGAAUGGACUUCGAAAAUAUAUCGAAAACCAUUUUUGUCAUCGCAGAAUACAUCACCAUGAUUAGACUAUGUAGUAAAGUAUUCAUGAACAUCUGAGUUUAACAGAAAGAAAUCAUGAAAGCAAUAGGGAUUUAGCUUAUUAAUUAAUUCACUACCAAAUAUAGUAGUUAGAUUUGAAAAAUAUCACAAAGCUUUUAAAAUCUUAAAGCUCUU